GCAGUUCCGACGGCAGCCGCCGUUUCGCGACCCACGGCGGACUUGCAUAAACACUUUCUAGUUGGAAUCUCACCCUGUGAGGUGGGCAAGGUAGUGAUAUUCCUGUUUGACGCCGACAGAAAUAAGAGAGAUUGACUCUCAGAACCAUGUGGCGGGAUUUUAAAGGAGGAUCUUAACAGUGGCUCGGACAGACCCGUGUUUUCUGCUCCUAGCAUUAACUACGUCGUUAAACCCUUCUGAAUUUAUUUCGUCUGUGAAAUGGGGAAAAGAUAGCCACCUUGCAUAACUGGUGAAGAAUUCGUAAACUGACAGCAGAAUCUAGUAAGAGGACUGGCCCGUGGUCGGCUCUUAAUGGUGUCACAGAAUAAAGAAAAAGACUGGGAGAGAGAUGGGAGCUGAUAGACCAGAGGAGACCAAAGACUGAAACUGAAGACUAAACCAUGGAAAUUGGGAACAAGCACUUACUCGCUUAGAGGGUGAAAAAAGUGAAUUUGCCUACAGGGCCAAUUUGGAAGCACCUCUCCCUGGAAGCCAGUCAAUGAAGAGCCAUUGGAGGAUUUUAAAUAAGGAACCGAAAAAUGGAGUCUGAAAAUAGAGGCGCAGAGACCGGUCAACCACAAUGAAGAACAAGCCAUUUUGACCUCCAUCCUGGCUCAUCUCCUCUGUGUUCUCAUAGCAUCAUAUUAUAGAAUGGAUCACAAACGCC
rnacentral:lncRNA from 10 species